ACAUACGACCAUAGACUCAAGAGAAUUGGGCAUCCCGUCCGCUCUGCCAUACACAAGCUUGAGAUCGGUGGAUUAGUAGUUGGGUGGGUGACCACCAGCGAAUACCCACUGUUGUAUGUA
rfam:Pseudogymnoascus pannorum VKM F-4519 (FW-2642) contig_2132, whole genome shotgun sequence.